rnacentral:lncRNA from 1 species
AAUGAUCAUGUAGUCAGUAUUCUAACAUUCUAGCUGGGGAACAUAGUACUUUUUAUAUAAUCCAGAUUUAGAACAUAGUACUUUUCAUACCAUAAAUCCACCAAUCUCAUACAUAACGUGUUGGUUAAAUAAUGAACAUUAUCAAAAUUACAACUGAUUUAAUAAAAUUAACAACAACACCGCAUACAUAACAUUAAUAAUUAUGACAAAUCGUUGAGUUAGUUGCAAUUGACGAAUUUCAAUCUUCAUCAUCGCUAAUUCGUUGGAGUCGUUAGAAUUCGUUGGAUGAGUUGUUACAUUUAAACGCUCAGAUAUGUCCAUCUGCAACCUCCCUUGAUUAUGCAACACUCGAACAUAUUCGUCACACCAGCUGAUGAAGUUACCACAUUGCUGCAUAUUUUGGGACACAAUAAAUUUAUUCACUUAUAUAAAAGGAACAAGUAUAAAAAAAUGGCAAUACAUAAAUACAUACCAUUCUUGGGCAAGAAUAAUAGUGUCUACCCGGAUUCUUUUUCGAUAUUGAAAGUUUUACUAUACAAGGGCCCGUACCACAACGACAUAUGAACGGAGGCCAUAAUAUAACAAUGAGAUUUGGAACACAAAGAAAUAAAAUGGAGAAGCAGAUAAAGAGGUCAAUAACACAAACCCAUACUGGAAACAUAAUUGAAGAGUUUCUAUUUCCCCAGCUGCAGGUCCUAGAUCAAGUUAAUGCCUAGUUACUCAAUUGAACCUAUCUUUACCCUAGCAGCAAGACCCGUAACAUAAUGAUGAACUAUAAAGCUAAAAAUCCCACACUACUAUGAACUUCUAUAUUCAUUGUUUUCUUCAGUGCAACAUUUCUGCUAAUCUUAGGGAAAGUAAUCUUGCCAAGUUCAGAAAAUUUGUAAAGGAUACGAACAACACCGUGAUAUCCCAGAGACAAAUUAUGUUUUGAAAAAUUGCAGCAAAUCUUCAUAAAUUACGGUUGCAAUGGCGGAAAAUAGUUAAGGGUUUACCGAAUGAAAGUCCAGAUCUGUGCGUUUGUCCUCUUAUUCCUCUGAUUCGACCUCUGAUUCGUGUGGCUUGCUGGAGUUGGAGUCGACUUUGAAGAGAAAUAGCAGCGAUCGAGAGUUCGCCCCUUUGCUUGGAAGGGUUUGAGAUGAAUAGCUACUAAUUUGUUUNNN